UAAUACUCUGAUUAAUGCCCUAGGGAAGGCUGGUCGAAUUGAUGAUGCAAACAAGCUUUUUGAACAAAUGAAAGUUAGCGGAAUAAACCCUGACGUUGUUACAUAUAAUACCCUUAUUGAGGUC
rnacentral:miRNA from 1 species